UGGGGAAUAUUGCACAAUGGGCGAAAGCCUGAUGCAGCGACGCCGCGUGAGGGAUGACGGCCUUCGGGUUGUAAACCUCUUUCAGUAGGGACGAAGCGCAAGUGACGGUACCUGCAGAAGAAGCACCGGCUAACUACGUGCCAGCAGCCGCGGUAAUACGUAGGGUGCGAGCGUUGUCCGGAAUUACUGGGCGUAAAGAGCUCGUAGGCGGUGUGUCACGUCGUCUGUGAAAUCCUAGGGCUUAACCCUGGACGUGCAGGCGAUACGGGCUGACUUGACUACUACAGGGGAGACUGGAAUUUCUGGUGUAGCGGUGGAAUGCACAGAUAUCAGGAAGAACACCGAUGGCGAAGGCAGGUCUCUGGGUAGUAACUGACGCUGGGGAGCGAAAGCAUGGGUAGCGAACAAG
rnacentral:rRNA from 1 species